GGCACUUGGAGUCCGGACAUCUGAAACUUGAUCUAGAGAACACAUGCAAUUUUGUUACAUGGGAAUACUGUGUUGUGCUGAGGUCUGGAGUAUGGAUCCCUUCACCCAGAAUUGACAAGCCGACAUCAGUCUCCAGAGUGAAUCCAAGGAGUGGACCCAAGACAUUUGUGUUCUGUGAUGUGGUGGCAUGUUACCUGUCAUCUCCGAUGCAUAACUCCUAAAGUGCGUCUGGGGCAGUUGUACAGAUUGCAGAGGAUAAUACUCAAGAUGUUCUCCAAGGCCAACUAGUCAUCAGUUUAUUCAUGUUUCUGGGAUUGGAUUCAUGAACUCAUCCUUUGAACUAUUUCAACAAGCUUUUUCAUGUAACUAAUCUGCGGAAGAGCUCCCAAGAUGGUGGUGGGCCACUUCCAAGAUGGUGGCAAGAGUCGUAUUCUCUGACCUGGGGUUCUUGGUCUCAUGGAUUCCAAGGAAUGGAAUCUUGCGCCAUGUGGAGAAGCGUCAGAUAAUUAGGCAGCAGUCCAACAAUUAGGUUUUGUGGAACUUUUACUAUGUCAUCUAUUUAUUGGAAUUCCCCCUGGAUACCAGGACCCCCUCCAGCAGAGCUUAAAGUUAUAGUUACAGGAAGUACAAAUUCCUUAUGUGGAUCCCUGGAAGUGUGAUGAGAAGAACCACUGUUUCCAAGAUCUAUUUAUUCUAUUUAUCAGGCCUAUAAAAUCAUGUAAUGGCCAUGGCUUCAACUAGACUCCACAUCUUGAAUCACAGAACUCAACGAAUGGCAUCAACUACAAGCUGGUAUUCUGCUAUACAUUUAAGAGGCCAUUUUAAUAUUCUAUUAGUCUAGCAGCUUCUAAGUGAUGAGGGAUAUGGGGGGACUGGAGGAUCCCGUGCUCACUUCCUUUUCUGUAAAAGGAGCUCUUUGAUCCAAGGUGACAUGGUAUGGGAUCCAAUGACAAUAAAUCAGUUAUUCUGUGAACCCUGAUCAAAACUUGACUAAACUUUUGACAGUUAGGUUUUUUCCUGACCACAGACUCCUCACCUUUCUUUUCUUAGAAAAUUUACAUUGGAAAACAGAUGUAAAUUUUCUCCAGCCUCUUGCAAGGUUUACAGUCCAGGACUUUGAGGUCCUGGGAGUCAUCCUUUUGAAAUACAAUCAUCAAAGAAGAUAGUGCUCCAAUCUCCUAGUCUCUGUGGGAGGGUUGGAACCUAACUUCAGUAAACUAAUCACCAAUUAGCAAACACAGAGGGGCUGAUCAUACUGACCCACUUUCCCACUAAAAUGUCUAGUACUUUCCACCAGCUCACCACAGUGCUUAAAAACUCUCCUGUCUUUUGUUUUACUAGAGUUGAGUCCAAUCUCUUUCAUCUAUUGCAAUAGUGUUGAAUAAAGUCUUCCUUGCCUAA
ensembl:lncRNA LINC01320 long intergenic non-protein coding RNA 1320